rnacentral:rRNA from 1 species
GAGUUUGAUCAUGGCUCAGAACGUACGCUGGCGGCACGCCUAACACAUGCAAGUCGAACGAAGUAGCAAUACUUAGUGGCAGACGGGUGAGUAACAUGUAGGUAUCUGCCCUUUGGCCUGGAAUAACACGAGGAAACUUGUGCUAAUACCGGAUAAGUCUUUACGGAGAAAGCUUUAUGCACCAUUGGAUGAGCCUGCACUUGAUUAGUUUGUUGGUGGGGUAAUGGCCUACCAAGACUGUGAUCAAUAGCUGAUUUGAGAGGAUGAUCAGCCACAUUGGGACUGAGACACGGCCCAAACUCCUACGGGAGGCAGCAGUGGGGAAUCUUGCACAAUGGAGGAAACUCUGAUGCAGCGAUGCCGCGUGAGUGAAGAAGGCCCUUGGGUUGUAAAGCUCUUUCGUCGGGGAAGAAAAUGACUGUACCCGAAUAAGAAGGUCCGGCUAACUUCGUGCCAGCAGCCGCGGUAAUACGAAGGGACCUAGCGUAGUUCGGAAUUACUGGGCUUAAAGAGUUCGUAGGUGGUUGAAAAAGUUGGUGGCGAAAUCCCAGAGCUUAACUCUGGAACUGCCAUCAAAACUUUUCAGCUAGAGUAUGAUAGAGGAAAGCAGAAUUUCUAGUGUAGAGGUGAAAUUCGUAGAUAUUAGAAAGAAUACCAAUUGCGAAGGCAGCUUUCUGGAUCAUUACUGACACUGAGGAACGAAAGCAUGGGUAGCGAAGAGGAUUAGAUACCCUCGUAGUCCAUGCCGUAAACGAUGUGUGUUAGACGUUGGAAAUUUAUUUUCAGUGUCGCAGGGAAACCGAUAAACACACCGCCUGGGGAGUACGACCGCAAGGUUAAAACUCAAAUGAAUUGACGGGGACCCGCACAAGUAGUGGAGCAUGUGGUUUAAUUCGAAGAUACGCGCAGAACCUUACCAACACUUGACAUGUUCGUCGCGACUCUAAGAGAUUAGAGUUUUCGGUUCGGCCGGACGAAACACAGGUGCUGCAUGGCUGUCGUCAGCUCGUGCCGUGAGAUGUUGGGUUAAGUCCCGCAACGAGCGCAACCCUCACUUUUAGUUGCCAUCAUUAAGUUGGGCACUCUGAAAGAACUGCCAGUGAUAAGCUGGAGGAAGGUGGGGAUGACGUCAAGUCCUCAUGGCCCUUACGUGUUGGGCUACACACGUGCUACAAUGGCAUCUACAACAGGAAGCAAAACGGCAACGUUAAGCAAAUCCCGAAAAGAUGCCUCAGUUCGGAUUGCACUCUGCAACUCGAGUGCAUGAAGCUGGAAUUACUAGUAAUCGUGGAUCAGCGUGCCACGGUGAAUGCGUUCCCGGGUCUUGUACACACCGCCCGUCACACCAUGGGAGUUGGUUCUACCUUAAGGCAAGGUUUUAAACCCUUGACCACGGUAUAGUCAGCGACUGGGGUGAAGUCGUAACAAGGUAACC